CGUGGCUAACCUGCCCUUGGGACGAGAACACCCCCGGGAAACUGGGGCUAAUUCUCGAUAGGUGAAGAACUCUGGAAUGAGUCUUCGCUUAAAAGAUACUGGGGUUAUGCUCUCCAGCUUCGCCCAAGGAUGGGGCCGCGACCGAUCAGGUUGUUGGUGAGGUAAUGGCUCACCAAGCCUUUUACCGGUGCGGGCCGUGAGAGCGGGAGCCCGGAGAUGGGCACUGAGACAAGGGCCCAGGCCCUACGGGGCGCAGCAGUCGCGAAAACUUUGCAAUAAGCGAAAGCUUGACAGGGCUAUCCCGAGUGCCAUCCGCUGAGGAAGGCUUUUACCCAGUCUAGAACGCUGGGGGAAUAAGGAGAGGGCAAGUCUGGUGUCAGCCGCCGCGGUAAUACCAGCUCUCCGAGUGGUGUGGAUGUUUAUUGGGCCUAAAGCAUCCGUAGCUGGCUAGGUUAGUCCCCUGUUAAAUCCACCGAAUUAAUCGUUGGAUUGCGGGGGAUACUGCUUGGCUAGGGGACGAGAGAGGCAGACGGUAUUUCCGGGGUAGGGGUGAAAUCCUAUAAUCCCGGGAAGACCACCAGUGGCGAAGGCUGUCUGCUAGAACGCGCCCGACGGUGAGGGAUGAAAGCUGGGGGAGCGAACCGGAUUAGAUACCCGGGUAGUCCCAGCUGU
rnacentral:rRNA from 1 species